UGUAUAUGUGUGUGUGUGUGUGUGUGUGUAUAUAUAUAUAUAUAUAUAUACACACACACAUAUACACACACAGGACUCGACAAAUA
rnacentral:miRNA from 1 species